GCCUGAAGGCAGCAAGACAGAGAGACCAGGGCCAAGGGGCAAAUGCAAAACGCUGCUCUCCGGGCCAGCGCAGCCUGGGGAGGUUCUGAGUGGUCAUCAUGUGGCCCUUCCGCUCUCCCCGCAACUUUCAGGGGUGCUGCUGGCUGUCGGCUUGGCAACUGCGCUGCUGACAGGCCUGGGCCUUGUGCUGAGCCCCCCGCUGGCCCAGACCUGCCCAGUCAGAGCUUGGAGACUCCGGGGGAGGGGCCUCAGGGAGCCUCACGUGCCUGCUGACUGCGUGCCUCUCGGGGACAGGUGAGUCCCUUUCUGCUCCUCACACAUUUCCCAGCCCUGCCCCAGCCUAGGGACCGCCACUGCCCACUCUGGCCCAGCCUACACUCCUGAGCCUGGCAUUGCCCUGUGGACUCAGGAAGGAACGCCCUCCUGAGCUGGCCUGUGGCGCUUGUCACCAGCUCCCCGGGUCCACGUGAGCCCUGCGCCAGCCGUGUGUGUCUGUGCGCUGAGGCUGGGGCUUCCUUCCAGCCUUACCGUCCGUGAAGACCUCGGUCCUCAGGGCUCUGGGGAAGGAGCCAGCUGCAGGCAGAGAGCCGUUCCCCGGGACACAGGUACCACGCCGGCGUGCAGUGAGUCGUCCCUCUCCCCAUCCCCGCUCAGCCUGCCCUCCACACCCCCUGCACCCCAGCCACACACUCUGGGGAGCGUCUCAUGUUUGUGCAGCACUGACAGUUUGCAGGACACUUCAUGCUGUCCUUUGAUCCUCACGACAGAGCCUAGAAGUGAGUGUUUUCAGGUGUUGUCCUGUCCCCAUGUUAUAGACAGAGAGAAUGAGGCUCAGAGAGACGUGAGUGACUUGCCCAAGGUCCCCAGGCAGCAAGCGCUGGAGAGAGGGUGCCACUGGGUUUGAGGCGAGAGCUCUCUGGUCCUCCCUGUGCUGGUCAGGAGCUCCUGGGGCCCCAGGGCAAUUCUCCAGCUGGUGGCUACCUUGCCCUAGCUCACCGCAGGGGCAGAAGCGAGGACCGUUCUCCAGGCUCCCUUUACACAAUCACUCACCCACGCCUGUCAGUUCCUCUUCACACCUGGAGAACUGGGUGUUGCCUUGGUGCUCAGGAGGACCUCGGGGAUCCAACCCUCCCCCUGUGGCCCCGGACCCCAGCCCCGACUGUGAGCAGGAAGUACAUGCAGAGGGGCAUGGAGGGAGGCUCCACGGAAGUGGGCCCUUCACCUGCUUGGGACAGCAUCAGACGAUGGGACAGAGGCCCUAAGUCCUCAUUGACCUGGGUUCACACAGCUUGAAGGUUAAUUCCACUGGUUCUUAACUGCAGAGUUGCAGGGACCACAGGAAGUGGGCUGAACGUGCAAGGGCCAGGGAGGGGGCGCAGAGAAAUGAGUGGUUACAAGCAUGAUCAUGGGAUCACACCAGUACUGGAGUCUUGCUAGCUGUGUGAACCUGAACACAGGCCUCCCCAUAGCACACACCCCCUUACACACACACAUGCACACACAUGCACAUGCCACACACAUGCAUAUACACGCCCACACGUGCACAUACAUCAUACACAUGCACAGAAGCAUGCACAAUCGUGCCAGAACACAUACACACUGUCCAGGGCUGGGCUGGCUCUGUGCUGUCCUGACUAUGCCUUUGCAUGGGGCUUAGAGGCUGGUCAUCCCUCUGCUGGCGACUGUUCUGGACAGUGCCGACACCAAGAACUAACAAGCCAGGACAAGUCAGCCCCUCUCACCCCAUGGCGCCCCUCGUGGGUGAUCUACAGGGUGGGCUGUGCUGAGUGUGGACAGUGUGGACAUAGUGAGGGCUGCUAGAGCCAGAGACUGCCCCUGGCACUGUAACCGUUAAAUGCAGCCUCUAUUCAGGGCCCAGCACAGGGCCGCGGCUCACUGCUGAGAGCUCCCAUGGGAGGAGGGGGCCCAGCGGGUCUGACCUGGGGUGCCAGGACAGGGUUCCUUUGGUCGGAGGACUGGUCCCUGAGGGGAGGGUGAAGUGCCCCUUUGCUGUGGGGCGUAUGACAGGGCAGAUGGAGAGGGGCAUCUCGAUGGAGUGGGAGGACCCAGUCCUGUCUUCUGAAGAUCUGCACUCCCACCCUCGUCCCACCUGACCAGCUGGUAGCUCAGGGGACAGGUCCUAAGCUGGCCACAGAGAGGGAGGAUGGAAAGCAGGCUCCGUCCGGGCCGGGCGGGUGUUGCUCUCAGAGUGAGAGCUGCCCCGUCGUAUCGCCAGCAUGGAUGGGACUUCCCCUUCUCCCGACAUGCACCCCCAGGCCUGGGACAGGGCGGCCUAGGGACUGGCAGUGGACGCUCACUCAGCUUCACAUCCACGUUCCUGCAGGUGCCACCCAGCUGAGCCCCAGGCCAGCAUGGGGCCUCACCCCACGUUUCUUCUUCUGCCUUCAAGACCCAGCUCCACACUCCACAGGGGAACGGCAGCUGCACAGGGGUCUCCGUCCCCCAGACAUGUCCUUCUAGCAGAGCAGAGGGCGUUUGAGGGAGAAGGAGGUCAAAGGGUUAAGGCUCUUCGCGGAGGGACAUUCCUAGGGAUGAGAGAGAAGCCCACUCGGGCCCAGAGACUUGGGCAGGCAGCGGCCUCCAUGGAGGGGCCCCGAUUCGCUCUCCGGGAGGUGGCCUGGGUCACACGCCGCAGCCUGAAGGCCAGAGGAGGCCCCUUAGCCAGAGAAGCACGUGGGGAGCCACACCCUGUGAACACCCUAGAGGACUUCAGCGUCCGCACACUCUAUGACAAGCUUGAGGACCAGAGCCUGCACUUGGUGGCCCAGCUGAGCAAGCACAGGAGCGACGCACUGGCCUUCUACAGGGGCGCCAGCCAGCAACUCCAGGGGCUCAAGGACUUUCUGCAGGGCGUCAGCAUGACCGAGCGGCAAGAUCUGGGCAGAGGUGGAGACCUGGAGAUGGGAGCCAAAGCCACUGCCAGGACAGACACUGGGCAGAGAGAGGAAUGGUGCAGUGGUCACACUGCAGCUUCUCCAAGGGUGCGCUGGCAGCAUCCUCUAGGCGGCACCCCCAGCAUGUCUCCACUGGGCUUUCAGUCGAAGCUCGACAGAAUGAUUGCGGCCCUGGCAUCUGCACUUUCUCACGCACGUGGGCAACCAGCCAGGGCCCACAGGAAGGCCUCCGCUCAGGGGGGUGAACAGCCUCUUCCCUCCUGUCAACAAGACCCUCAACUGGUGAGUGACACGCUCCUGAAGCCCCGGCCUCAGCCCUCGGAUGAGGAGCAUCAAAGUGCAAGCCCCCAGAAGACCCCAGGACCUGGACGGCUCCGUCAGGGUGAUGCCAAAGGAGGGGACACUGAGAGCCCAGUUUCCGGACACAGGCACGGAGCCUUUCCUGAGCUGCAGAGAAAGAUAUGGCAGGUGGAAGACAUCUUGGACGAACUGAAUAAAGAGUUCUUCCAGCUCACUGCUCAAGCCCUAGAGCUCCAGAAAGAAGAGCACCAGCCAGACCACCUGCCCCCAAGGAAACACAGUACAUUUGCGGUGGUUCCCAGCAUCUUCCCUCAUGCAGAGCAGGAAGACAGACCUAACCCAGCAGAGGCAGGCGGCCCAGACAGAAAGAGUGUGGGAACCUGGGCCCUGAAGAGCGAGCAGGCCCUGAUCCUGGCGGUGAGGAGAGCCUGCCUGGCUCAGAGGAUCGAAGGCCUGGACUGGGAGCUGUCCCUGCUCCUCCAGGUGGCAGAGGGCAGCACGUGUGCAGGAUGGAGCCAGCCCAGCCUGGGGAGACGCUGAGUCACCCAGGGUGCUGCGGCGGUCAUCUGUGGCAGUGCCUUCUCCACAAAGAACAUGGCCAGGUUACUCUGCGCACUCCAGGCAGGAAGACGUGGGCGUCGCAGGGGCCGCCCUGGCUGGGAAUGUGAGCUCGGUUAUGGCAUGCUCCUAUCUGGUAACACCCAGGUUUCUUUCAGAGCCUGGACCUCGGCUUGUGCUGAUUGCUAUCUGUGAUCCUUUGGGGUGAGGGAAAAUAAAGUCACACAGGUUGAGAAUAUCAACGUGUGUUCCCAUCGCUGAGUCCAUCCCUCAAUCCUCUCAUCAGGGCACUGGCCAUUGGAUGCUGUGGUCCCCCAAAACCUCACUUGGGGCACCUGGCUUCAGGGGUGAGAUGUGCUUGGGGUAGGGACCAUGAGAACCUAG
rnacentral:lncRNA from 1 species